CGAGCGUGGGACCUCUCUCUCUCUCUCUCUCUCUUCAGUGGAUUAUAACAAGAGAGGAAGGUUUCAGUGUUUGAUGUGUUCUGUGAAAACCUGACCACGUGUGAAAGGUCGACUUUUCACAGAAGUUCAGGCACGACGGGAAAUGAGACGUGGUUUGAAUGAAGAGAACUUUAUCACACCACAGCCACAGGGGGACAUCUGACAACUCUUGAUUACAUCUUGGGAUCUAAAUCCAGCUUCUACCCUCGGGAGACGGCUCCUUCCUUUGUUUCAUUAAACGAACGCUCUAUUACAUCUGUAGUGAAGUGAAUAAAACCACAGCCUGUCAGAGGGAUGGGAAGUGGAGGCGUUCUCCAGUUCUUUAUCACAGUUACCAGUCCGCAGCCUGAGGCUCGUCUGACUCACCACAACCGAAAGAGGAACCACGUCAGAGGUUAUUUCUGUUGCCUCUUCUCGUCAGUGAGUUUAAAUGUCGACUCCAUUUGACGUGAAAGUUGUGCACGGUUAUAUUAACAGAUACAAAGUGAUGCUACAGGAUUAUUAUCUCCUCUCCUCCUACACAGACGUCUCCGACUGCAGCUUCAUCACGAACUUGUGGCUUUUGGGGUCGACGAACUCCUCGCCCAGGCGCAGGAAGGGAAGUGGUGUCACCGUGAUGACCAGGGAGAAGUCCGGGCGCUUCAGGGUGAAGACCUGGUUUUGGCGCAGAGACGCGGUCACAGGCUCCUCGCUCACUAGUGUCCACUGGCGCCCCCUGCUGCUGUCCAGAACUGCAGGAAGUCGAUGAUGCUCUCCAUGCUGUGGUAGGACUGCUGCCUGGUGGCUCGGAGGUACUUCUGCAUGGCCCGCGCCAUCGGGGCGAAGAUGGCCUGAGCCGCCUCCCUCGGGUCCAUCACCUCCCGCGGGUGUUUGGGCGAGGACACGAGCGCCUCCUCUUCCUGGUGACGCUUGAUGUGGGUGAAGGCUUCUUCUACUGCCACCACCAGUCUGGGAGGAGCAAUUACACCCGUCCGGGUCCAGGAAAUGGGAGCAGAUCUGCGGUGCGAGUGCGCGGGCAUCUUUCGGACUGGAGCCCAGUUGCCAGGCUCCAUGCAGGUGAACCCUGAGACCCUGUGAAUGACCUCCUCACCACGUCUUGCUGGAUCUUGACCCUGACCUGGUGAGCCCUCCUCUUGGCGCUCUCAAUCCGCUCCACCAGUGCCGCUGACGGGUUCCUCGAGUGCUCCUCCAUCAGGUCCUGUGAAUUCAUCAAGUCUGGUUAUCAACAGCAUCUUCAGAGGGAUCAGUGAUCAAUCUGCAGUGAGUUGUGUUUCCUGCACGGACUCAUUUGUUCAUGUGCGAGGGUUUUACCUGCAGCUCAGCUUCCUCCUGCUCCAGCAUCUUCCUGAGUAUCUGAGUGGCGUGUUUUUGUACUUCUGGGUCCUGAACACACAAAAGCAACAGAUGAUGAUGUGCAAUUUCUCCAAUUACCUAAGUCCUUUAGCUGUUCCACUGGGUUGUAUGAAUGCUUAAAAAAACGUGUCUCACCUGUAGUGGUUUGGGUCCAGUGAUUCUUUGGGAAGGGCUGCUGCUCAGUCCAGAGGGCAGGGGCGGAGGUGGAGGGGGUGGAGCCUCCCCACCGAGAGACGUUCUUUGAUUGGGGGUGAGGUCAGUGUGGAGGGGCUCC